rnacentral:rRNA from 1 species
UACGUAGGGGGCAAGCGUUGUCCGGAAUCAUUGGGCGUAAAGCGCGUGUAGGCGGUCCGAUAAGUCCGCUGUGAAAGUCGGGGGCUCAACCCUCGGAUGCCGGUGGAUACUGUCGGGCUUGAGUACGGAAGAGGCGAGUGGAAUUCCUGGUGUAGCGGUGAAAUGCGCAGAUAUCAGGAGGAACACCAAUUGCGAAGGCAGCUCGCUGGGACGUUACUGACGCUGAGACGCGAAAGCGUGGGGAGCAAACAGG